AUUAUGCUAUAAAUAGCCUCAUUUCGGGCAUUAUACAUUAGUUUUUCAUUACUAAAAUGACUCAAUCAAGGAUCUGGAAGGUUACUCUGCAACAUGCUGAUACCAUUGAUUGGAGAGAAUCAUGCAAGACAUUUGCAAAGAAUUGCUAUCCCACCAGGCUGGUGUUGGGACCGGUAGAGACUGCCCCUACCACUGGGACUAAACACAUUGAUUGGAGAGAAUCAUGCAAGACAUUUGCAAAGAAUUGCUAUCCCACCAGGCUGGUGUUGGGACCGGUAGAGACUGCCCCUACCACUGGGACUAAACAUCAGCAUCUAUUUAUACGAAUGCCUCGAUGUCAGACCGCGGGAUACUUCCUCAGGCACAUCCCACAUUUGCAGGAGGCGGCCUGGCUAAAACGCUGUGAGAACCCCGAGGCUUUCCUACAAUAUGUAGUUAAAGAGGGCCUUGCUGUAUACACCAUUGGAGAAGAGCCACGCCCCCGGUCUACAGCAUAUGUCCGAAAAGCUAAGUCUGACCAGAUACUAGCUAUGGUACUCAAGGGAUUAAAGUACAAUGCCAUUAUUAGAACCCCUGGUUUUGCCGGAUGUGGUAAGCUUAUAAGGAAACUCCUCUCACAAAGACACCAGACAAAACACAGGGCGGAAUGCAUGUAUGUCUGGGGUCCAUCCGGUACAGGCAAGACUGAUAGCAUCCGGUAUGCUAUUGAUGCCUGGAAGGAUGCCAACCCGGAACUAGUUGUUGAUUACCAUAACAGGGGCGGAUCCAGGAAAAACAAAAGGGGGGGCUAGCUAGAAAGGGGCGGAGCCGCCCAGGGCAACCUCGAAUUUUUUGCAAGAUUUGACCUUUGAACUUUCAUAUUAAUGAGUAGAAUACGUUGACGUGACCUCUGCACUUACUUUUAAUACUAUGGUGAUACUGUACUGAUCAGAUGUACGUACGUACGUACAGCUAGCUAGCUAGCUAGGUACGUCCAGCUAGCUACCCUAGAUCCUUUAUAUUCCUAGUAGCUGUUGUCUAGCAUCUCUCAAGUGAUUUCAAACAUACCAUUCAACACCAAGAGUGGCUGCAGUUGCUAGGGAACAGGGGACCUCACACGGUGCAGAUGAAAGGAUCUACAAUCAACUAUGAAGCCAGGCUGGUGUUUGCUACUUCUAAUAACAGCCCAUCAGAGAUGGUGGCUAACCUCAUGGACUCACACAAGCCUGCCAUGCUCAGGAGAAUUCAAAAGAACGAGUAUCACAUGAGUGAGGCUAAUGAACGCCCCAUGCUGCAGCUGAAAGUGAUGGAAUUGAUGUGCAAGUUUUUCAAAGGCAUUAAUCCAUAUAGGGAGAUGGGGAAAGACCUCUACAUGCAACAGGAUUUCAGUCUAGACAACUUGGCACCUCUGCCAAAACCAAUGCAAACAACAUUACAUGCAUCACUGCCAAGGAUUAUUGGAUGCAGAAGGGGAAACCAUACAAAAGACACCAGACCAAUUACAAGAGAUAGAGAAAGAAACUCAAGCCAAAUAUGACUCUUUAUAGGUAGGUUUAGAGAGAUGAAAAAGAAAGCACAGAAAAAGAACAAAUCUAGCAAAUAGAGAGUGUAAUUCCAUGUGUAUAUUAUCAAUAUGAGCCCGUAAGGGCGAAUGUGA